UGAGGAAUAUUGCACAAUGGACGCAAGUCUGAUGCAGCAACGCCGCGUGGAGGAUGAAGGUCUUUGGAUUGUAAACUCCUUUUCUCAGGGAAGAGAAUGGACGGUACCUGAGGAAUAAGUCACGGCUAACUACGUGCCAGCAGCCGCGGUAAUACGUAGGUGGCAAGCGUUAUCCGGAAUUACUGGACGUAAAGCGCACGCAGGCGGUCUUUUAAGUUUGACGUGAAAGCUCUCGGCUUAACUGGGAGAGGUCGUUGAAGACUGGGAGACUUGAGGCAAUGAGAGGGGUGUAGAAUUCCUGGUGUAGUGGUGGAAUGCGUAGAUAUCAGGAGGAAUACCAGUGGCGAAAGCGGCACCCUAGCGUUAGCCUGACGCUCAUGUGCGAAAGCGUGGGGAGCGAACG
rnacentral:rRNA from 1 species